rnacentral:rRNA from 1 species
ACAACGACUCUCGGCAAUGGAUAUCUCGGCUCUCGUGUCGAUGAAGAACGCAGCGAAAUGCGAUACAUGGUGUGAAUUGCAGAAUCUCGUGAAUCAUUGAGUUUUUGAACGCAAGUUGCGCCUGAGGCCGUUUUUUGGUCGAGGGCACGCCUGCCUGGGCGUCAUGC